rnacentral:rRNA from 1 species
CCUACGGGUGGCAGCAGUGGGGAAUAUUGCGCAAUGGGCGCAAGCCUGACGCAGCGACGCCGCGUGCGGGAUGCAGGUCUUCGGAUCGUAAACCUCUGUCAGCAGGGAAGAACGGUCACUGUGCUAAUCAGCAGUGAAUUGACGGUACCUGCAAAGGACGCACCGGCUAACUCCGUGCCAGCAGCCGCGGUAAUACGGAGGGUGCGAGCGUUAAUCGGAAUUACUGGGCGUAAAGCGCUCGUAGGCGGUAUGUCAAGUCAAGGGUGAAAUCCCCGCGCUCAACGUGGGAACUGCCUUUGAGACUGGCAAACUGGAGGGUGUGAGAGGAUAGUGGAAGUCCAGGUGUAGGAGGGAAA